rnacentral:lncRNA from 1 species
AACUGCUCCUUUAAUUUGGUCACUUGUGGCUGCAGGACUGUACUACGUUUAAAUAGUGUCUGAUGAGUUGGGUCUUCUCUGUGGCUCCUCUGUAAUUAUUAUUGUUUAGCAAUUUUAAGUGUGGCUCAGCUCCUUCAACUUUUGCCUUAUAUACUUUAACUUAGAAGUACGAAUAUAUUCAUAGUUCAUACUUUAUUUGGUCUAUUAUUGUUCAUAGUUCAUACUUUAUUAGAGAGGAAUCAACACAUGAAUUAUAUGUUAACCACUUAAGGAUAACUACAAAUGAGUAAUAGAGUCAAGUACAAUCUGACAGAGAGCUAAAAUUAGAAGUACAAAUAUAUUCAUAAUCUUGAAACUUAGUGAUUAUAUUCUAAUUGUUAGUGAUGUGAUUGCUUGAUGUUGGAUCGUGUUCCUCAUUCCGUUUCCUUUACUUGAUGGAACAACCCAAAAUUCAGUUAAUUCAACCCAAGCCAUUUUGUGAUUAUAUUCCGUUUCCUAACCAAGUUGUCUGUUGGACCAUGAGUAGAAUGUGAAAGGUCAAAAGUACUCGGUUGACACAUCUAUGAGAAUUAGCUUACGAUUUCAUUCUUUUUAGACCUCUGCUUUAGUUAAUACAUCAUAUGUAUGUUGUGUGUGUUCUCAUAUUAGAAUGCUUUGGAGAUUAUUCCAGUAGGUAGGAUAUUAAUAUAUUUGGGCUAGCUGUAUAUACUUUCUGUUCAGAUGAUUAAAGAGUAGUAGGUAGGAUACUAAUAUAUUUGGGCUAGUUGUAUAUACUCUUUGUUCAGAUGAUUAAAGAGUGUAUGAAAUGCUUCUUUUUUUUCUUUUCCUUUCUUAUGGGCGUGUAAUGUAUUCAAGACUGGUUCUUUUAAGUAAUGAUUUCCAUCACAUUUUGUUUCAGUCUAUAUUCUACUAUGUGUGCUUUCCUCUUUGUUUUGGUAAAAUCCCAUUUUACAGAAAAUUUAUUAAGAGUCAGUUCCCUCUCUAAGUAUACGAGGGAACUGACAGAGAUGACAAGUUUAUUAUUUAUGAAUUAGAACAUAAAUUGAUUCGAGGUCUAUUUCUGGUUCACUUGAUAAAUCAGUUUCUAGUCCUUUCUUUUGUCCUUGUUCUUGUAUUUUUUAUGUGCAUAUUUUUAGGUUCAUGUGACUGACUAGUAGCUUUCCCCAACCAUUGUUGAACCAUACAGUAUCUAAAUUUCAUUAUUUAUGUGUUUACAAACAUAUUUAUUUUUUGGUUCAGAAAAUGAAAAUUCCCGAGCAUAAAAAAUGGAUGGUAAAUAGACUAAUCCCCGGUCGAGCGGGAUAUACUACAGCACAGUUGCAAUAUUCGGUGGCUAGAUGAUAAAGAAUUUGAACAAUUGAUGUUACCACCGGCCAAUAGGACUCCAGUCACCUCAUCUAGUACAGUUGGCAAUAGAGACAAUGAUCAUCAAAUCUGGAUUGUACCUGAAGAGGACGGGUAAUAAGACUAACUUUUAAUAAUACAUUUGCUUAGCUGAAUUGUUUAUCUGUUUAUAUUUUCGAUAACUACUGUAUUUUUAUAUAGGUUUGAUCCUCACAAGAUAGUAAUUGACGGCAUUGCUAGUUGCAUUCGUAGUAAAUUUGAAUUGGCUAGACCCUCAUGGAAGAAGUUUCCACAAUCUACUCAUGAUAUGUGGUUUGAGGAAUUCAAGGUAAGGACACUAUACACAUAUGAUUAUAUCAAGUCAUAUGAGUUUGAUAUUAACCUGAGUUACUGCUUACUGCCUUCACUGAUAUUUUGUCAAUCUCGUUAUGAUAUUUUGGUUGGGUCAUUUUAGCUCUUGCUUCUUUUAUAUAAUUCUUCAUCUUGCUCAUUGGGUUGUUGAGUUUCCCUUUCAUGAUU